GUCCCCUUGUAAAGAAAGGAACGCAUUCUGCUGAUUUAGAUGAAUUGCCUUCUUGCCUCUUGAGGAAGAGCUCCAUUGCUGAGCAGGGUGAAGGACACUUGUUCCAGCAGGAGAAGACCUGGAAGUCUGUCUUCACAAUGACAUGGUCAACUGCAGAGGCCAAAGGAGGGAGGUGUGGUCCACAUGGUUCCAGGCAGGUGAUGCCCUUUGUUCAAGUUCACAACCAGAUGUAUGAAUCUCAUUAAUAUAAUGUUGGAUGAAGGAGGCCAGACACGGAGAAUUCUUGCAUGUGUGGACGAAAGGGGCCACAUGCUGACCUGACAAGCUCAGGGGAGGCCUGCAUGGCAGUCUUGCAGACUCGGAGACCUAAAGUAACCACAAAGGAUGGUCUGAAAUUAAACUUUAACUAAAAGAAGUUAUGGU